ACAAAGCUUACACUCCCCCUCAAAAAGUCGCCUGCUUCUCCACUGACAAGCCCCGAGCUCCCCCACCAGCAGGUUGCCCAGUGAUUUGCACAAUCCUCGGUCUGUCACGACUGGCCCUCAGAAUCCACAGGAGGUGGACUGAAUCAGAUUAGAUUAUUUACCCCAUCAACGCUGCGUCAGAAAAGGGCAUUAGGAGAAAACAGAAAAUUGAAUUUGGUCUUCACACUGAUAAAGAAUCUUUCUAUGGAUGAAUUGAAAACAAUUCCCAUAUCAAAAGCAGUGAAGUAUAAACAGAAAAAGCUGGAGAGGCGACCAACCCGGAAUCCCAAGAGGGAUCUCUGUCCAGAUUUAGGGGCAUCCUUGUGAGAUUGGUCAGUGCAAAGAUGAUUUUGUCCCUCAAUCAGAACUAACUAGCAGACAGAAGAAUUUCUGCAUUGAAAAAGAGGACUGUUUUCAGGAGGAUGAACCUAGUUCUGGAGGAUAGAAGACGUAGACCUGGAAGGAAUUAUUGGACAGUUUCAAGGUAAAAUAUGAAAUACCAGUUUAAUAAUCCCACAAACUGCUUCAUACCUUAAUAGCUUAAGAUGUGAACUUCCUGGGAGAGUACUAUAAUAGCUAUGUUACUGUGUCAUGUUGGGAUUUUUUCCCUGUGGAUGAAAUAAA